GAAGGUGGCAAGUGUUGUUCGGAAUCAUUGGGCUUAAAGCGCGCGUAGGCGGACUGGAAAGUGUCUUGUGAAAACCCACGGCUUAACCGUGGAAUUGCUUGGCAAACUAUCAGUCUUGAGGCAAGUAGGGGUACAUGGAACUCUUAGUGGAGCGGUGGAAUGCGUAGAUAUUAAGAGGAACGCCAAUGGUGAAGACAGUGUACUGGGCUUGUACUGACGCUGAGGUGCGAAAGCGUGGGGAGCGAACGGGGGAUUAGAUACCCCGGUAGUCCACGCCGUAAACGAUGUCUACUAGAUCGUGGGAGUUCUGACACUUUCACGGUCGAAGCAAAAGUGAUAAGUAGACCGCCUGGGGAUACGGUCGCAAGGCUA
rnacentral:rRNA from 1 species